rnacentral:rRNA from 1 species
GAUGAACGCUAGCUACGGGCUUAACACAUGCAAGUCGAGGGGUAACGAGAGGAAAGCUUGCUUUCCUUGUCGACGACCGGCGCACGGGUGAGUAACGCGUAUCCAACCUGCCCCCAACUAGGGAAUAACCUUGCGAAAGUAAGACUAAUACCCUAUAAUUUCCUCAGAUGUCAUCUGACGAGGAAUAAAGAUUUAUCGGUUGUGGAUGGGGAUGCGCUCUGAUUAGCUUGUUGGCGGGGUAACGGCCCACCAAGGCAACGAUCAGUAGGGGUUCUGAAAGGAAGUACCCCCACACUGGAGCUGAGACACGAUCCAAACUCCUACGGGAGGCAGCAGUGAGGAAUAUUGGUCAAUGGGCGGAAACCUGAACCAGCCAAGUAGCGUGCAGGAGGGCGGCCCUAUGGGUUUUAAACUGCUUUUAUACAGGAAUAAAGUUAGCCACGUGUGGUUAUUUGUAGGUACUGUAUGAAUAAGGACCGGCUAAUUCCGUGCCAGCAGCCGCCGUAA